AGAAGUAAACUAGAAAUAUAGGGUUAGGUAUACUUAUGUUUGGUUAUCUUCGGAUAUCCAUUCAGGUUCAGAUAUUACCCGUUCGGAUUCAGAUAUUACCUGAACUGGUCAAAUAAGUAAUUUGUUUUGUUGUUCUUGAAUUAGAUGACUUUUAGACCGAGCUGGUGAAUAUAUACUUGACAGACAUUUAUAUUUCGAGUAUGCACUUAUAUUCU
rnacentral:lncRNA from 1 species